rnacentral:rRNA from 1 species
UACGUAGGGUGCAAGCGUUGUCCGGAAUUAUUGGGCGUAAAGAGCUCGUAGGCGGUUUGUCGCGUCUGCUGUGAAAAUCCAGGGCUUAACCCUGGACCUGCAGUGGGUACGGGCAGACUGGAGUGCGGUAGGGGAGAUCGGAAUUCCUGGUGUAGCGGUGAAAUGCGCAGAUAUCGGGAGGAACACCAGUGGCGAAGGCGACUUCCUGGCCUGUUCUUGACGCUGAGGCGCGAAAGCUAGGGGAGCAAACGGG